rnacentral:rRNA from 1 species
GUCCACGCCCUAAACGAUGUCAACUGGUUGUUGGGUCUUCACUGACUCAGUAACGAAGCUAACGCGUGAAGUUGACCGCCUGGGGAGUACGGCCGCAAGGUUGAAAACUCAAAAGGAAUUGACGGGGACCCGCACAAGCGGUGGAUGAUGUGGUUUAAUUCGAUGCAACGCGAAAAACCUUACCCACCUUUGACAUGUACGGAAGAUUUAAGAGAUUAGAUUGUGCUCGAAAAGAGAGCCGUAAACACAGGUGCUGCAUGGCUGUCGU